rnacentral:rRNA from 1 species
GGAGGGUGCAAGCAUUGAUCGGAAUUAUUGGGCGUAAAGGGCGCGUAGGCGGCAAGAUAAGACAGAUGUGAAAUUCCGGGGGGCUCAACCCCCGGAGCUGCAUUUGAAACUAUCUAGCUAGAGUAUAGUUAGGGAAAACGGAAUUCCACGUGUAGCGGUGAAAUGCGUAGAUAUGUGGAAGAACACCGGUGGUGAAGACGGUUUUCUGGGCUAAAACUGACGCUGAGGCGCGAAAGCUAGGGGAGCAAACAGGAUUAGAUACCCUGGUAGUCCUAGCUGUAAACGAUGCAUACUAGACGUAGGAGGGCUCAACCCCUUUUGUGUCGGAGCUAACGCAUUAAGUAUGCCGCCUGAGGAGUACGCUCGCAAGGGUG